rnacentral:rRNA from 1 species
UGGGGAAUAUUGGACAAUGGGCGCAAGCCUGAUCCAGCCAUGCCGCGUGAGUGAUGAAGGCCUUAGGGUUGUAAAGCUCUUUUAGUGGGGAAGAUAAUGACGGUACCCACAGAAAAAGCCCCGGCUAACUUCGUGCCAGCAGCCGCGGUAAUACGAAGGGGGCUAGCGUUGUUCGGAUUUACUGGGCGUAAAGCGCACGUAGGCGGAUCGUUAAGUUAGGGGUGAAAUCCCGAGGCUCAACCUCGGAACUGCCUUUAAUACUGGCGAUCUAGAGUCCGGAAGAGGUGAGUGGAACUCCUAGUGUAGAGGUGGAAUUCGUAGAUAUUAGGAAGAACACCAGUGGCGAAGGCGGCUCACUGGUCCGGUACUGACGCUGAGGUGCGAAAGCGUGGGGAGCAAACA